GCUGGCGGCGUGCCUAACACAUGCAAGUCGAACGCGAAAGUCCCGCAAGGGAUCAGUAGAGUGGCAAACGGGUGAGUAACACGUGGGUGACCUGCCUUCGAGUGGGGGAUAACGUCCCGAAAGGGACGCUAAUACCGCAUGACAUCCUGCCUUUGAAGAGGUGGAGAUCAAAGCUGGGGAUCGCAAGACCUAGCGCUCAAAGAGGGGCCCGCGCCUGAUUAGCUAGUUGGCGAGGUAACGGCUCACCAAGGCAUCGAUCAGUAUCCGGCCUGAGAGGGCGGACGGACACACUGGGACUGAGACACGGCCCAGACUCCUACGGGAGGCAGCAGUGGGGAAUUGUUCGCAAUGGGCGCAAGCCUGACGACGCAACGCCGCGUGGAGGAUGAAGACCUUCGGGUCGUAAACUCCUUUCGAUCGAGACGAAUGGCCUCCGGGUGAACAAUCCGGAGGAGUGACGGUACCGAGAGAAGAAGCCCCGGCUAACUCCGUGCCAGCAGCCGCGGUAAUACGGGGGGGGCAAGCGUUGUUCGGAAUUACUGGGCGUAAAGGGCUCGUAGGCGGCCAACUAAGUCAGACGUGAAAUCCCUCGGCUUAACCGGGGAACUGCAUCUGAUAC
rnacentral:rRNA from 1 species